CCGUUCUCACCCCAAUUCCCCAAGGGACGGCCACCCACCACCCAAGUACAGCCUCGCCGGCGCGCGCUAAAACCCUAACCCCUCCGCGCCUCCGCCUCCUCUCCGCCGCGCGACCGCCCCCAACCCGCGAGGAGAACGAAGGCCGGGGUCGCGAUGGGGCGAGACAAGACCCGGCGUCUCUCCGGCAGCCGCCAUCUCCGGCAGCGGCUGGUGCUGGCGACGCUCACCUCCACCGGCGUCACCAUCGAUGACAUCCGCUCCGGGGACGCCGCACCGGGGCUCCGCCCGUACGAGGUCUCCCUCCUACGCCUCCUGGACAAGAUCUCCGACCGCCACACCAUCGACCUCAACGAGACAGGAACGAAGCUGAAGUACAUGCCGGGGGUGAUUCAAGGCGGGAAGGGCCUUGAGCACGACUGCGGGGUGCACCGGGGGAUCGGCUACUUCCUCGAGCCGCUUAUACUGCUGGGCCUCUUCGCGAAGGCGCCCAUAUCGAUUCGGCUCAAAGGAAUCACUAAUGAUACAAAGGACCCUUCUGUGGAUACUUUCCGGAUGACAACCUUGCAUAUGCUCAAGCAUUUUGGUGUUCCUUUGGAGGGUUUGGAGCUAAAGAUUGAUAGCCGAGGAUCUCCACCCCUUGGUGGUGGUGAAGUGUUUCUCCGAGUUCCCAAUAUAAAUAGCACACUAACGGCAGCAAACUGGGUUGAUGAAGGUAUGGUGAAGAGGAUAAGGGGUGUUUCAUUCUCUACUAGAGUAUCUCCACAGAUUGAAAGCCGCAUUAUCUAUGCUGCACGUGGAAUCUUCAAUCGCUUCAUUCCUGAUGUUCAUAUAUUCACUGAUCAUAGAUCUGGUGCUUUCGGUGGGAGGUCACCAGGCUAUGGUGUAUCAUUAGUUGCUGAGACCACAACAGGCUGCCUGCUCUCUGUAGAUGCCACUGUGAGUUAUCCUAGUGUUGAUGAAAUAAAUGAAGAAUCUGAGAAGCCAGAGCUGAUGUCUCCAGAGGAUCUUGGUGUUCAAGCUGCAUCAUUGCUACUAGAAGAGGUGGCUCAAGGAGGGGUUGUUGACUCUACACAUCAGGGCCUCCUAUUUAUCCUGUGUGCUUUAUGCCCAGCUGAUGUAUCAAAGGUUCGUGUUGGACAGUUGACUCCACAUGGUAUAGAAAUGCUUCGAAACAUCAGGGAUUUUCUUAACGUCAUGUUUGUUAUCAAGCCUGAUCCCAAUUCGAACACUGUUACUUUAAAAUGUGUCGGUGCGGGAGUGAAGAAUAUUGCUCGGAAGAGUUCAUAAGCAACAGGAUUAUGAAUCUCGUCAAUGAUUGAGGACACAGCAAGAGACUACCGUGAGAUCCUGUUUGUAGCUGUGAAACAGCAAAGGAGUUUCCUUAGCUACUGCUGCGGAAUUUUUGUUCUGAGCAGAGCAGUUAGUCUUCGUGUGGAACAAUGGCGCUGAUGUCUUCAAGAUGGGUUAUGCAACUUAGCCCCAGUCUGAAAUAAUUGCAAUGCAAGCAUUACUAAGCCACAGAGAUGGUUCAAAUCAUCAUUACCAAUGAUCUUGUACAGAUAAGCACCAACCCCACCAGGUCCUAUACUCAUAUUGCCGAUAUUAGGACUGACAAAAUUGCUAUUGGCCACCAACUGACACCACUUCGUCGCCAUUACGGUAAGAACAAGCACAAGAGAACUGCUCUCACCAUACUCUUCUCUGUCUGCUGCAGCAUUCCGCAAUCUGUUAGUGAUGAGAAUCUUGUGAGGACUUCAUUGUUAAUCACUAUCAGUGCACUGGUACUUCAAUAGCCACUAGGUAAUGUGUGUACAUGUUAACUGGUAAAGCAUUGGAAGGAGUCAAUCCGAGUCGAGUUGAGGCGUUGAGCAGGUCUCUGCUGCUUGUCAUUUAUCGAACACCCUUUUACAAUGGAAACUAUGUUGGAUUCCAUGCA